rnacentral:sRNA from 1 species
GCAAACGACUCGCUUGUAUUUUUUCGUAUGUCGCCGUCGUCGUCUCCGUUGUAGUUUUUUGCCUCAGUGCAAUCUUAACAAUAUUUUAAAACAUAUUUGUGAUAUUUUUGGCGGUUCUUGUUGUUGUAAAUGCAGAAAAAUGUACACAAAUCGAAUGCUUUGCUAGUGUGUAAUGUGACAGACGUGCGAACACGUUCACUCAAACAAAACGCGGCUGAGAAAUAAGAAAAAACAAAUGGAAAAUCAUUAAACAAUACCUAGUUGAAAAAAAUAAAAAACCCAAAAAAAGAAGAGAAAAAUUGCCAAAUGGCCAAAAUGGCCCUGGCUUAAGCUGCUAAGAAAUGUAUAAAACGAAUUGUUUUCGAUAUUGCGUAAAUCUGGAAAUUAAAGCAAGCGUCAAGUGCAAGCAGCAGCAGCAGCAGCAGCAGCAGCGGAGCAGCCUGGCCACACUGUGACUCCCGAAUCCGCCAAGCCGCAGCGCCCGCGACUGGCACCGAAAGCCAACCAAACGCCUGAGCGUGCGCAUAGAGAACGCAUGAACCAAAUAGAACGGAUCAGAUAAAAGAGAUAAGAAGUCGAAGAAGAGGCGCAGCAGAAAACGAAUAUAAAGCGGAAACGACAAAAGGACUGCGAAAGGCGACUUCACACAUAUAUAAUAUAUAUAUUUAUAUAUA